rnacentral:rRNA from 1 species
UACGGGGGGGGCAAGCGUUGUUCGGAAUUACUGGGCGUAAAGGGCUCGUAGGCGGCCAACUAAGUCAGACGUGAAAUCCCUCAGCUUAACUGGGGAACUGCGUCUGAUACUGGAUGGCUUGAGUUUGGGAGAGGGAUGCGGAAUUCCAGGUGUAGCGGUGAAAUGCGUAGAUAUCUGGAGGAACACCGGUGGCGAAGGCGGCAUCCUGGACCAUCACUGACACUGAGGAACGAAAGCCAGGGGAGCAAACGGG